rnacentral:rRNA from 1 species
GCAACUCGCCUGCAUGAAGUCGGAAUUGCUAGUAAUCGCGGAUCAGCAUGCCGCGGUGAAUACGUUCCCGGGCCUUGUACACACCGCCCGUCACACCAUGGGAGUCGGUAACACCGAAGCCGAUAGUCUAACGAAAGAGGACGUCGUCGAAGGUGGGAUUGAUGACUGGGGUGAAGUCGUAACAAGGUACC